rnacentral:rRNA from 1 species
AGUGGACGCUGGCGGUAGGCCUAACACAUGCAAGUCGAACGGCAGCACAGUAAGAGCUUGCUCUUACGGGUGGCGAGUGGCGGACGGGUGAGGAAUACAUCGGAAUCUACUUUUUCGUGGGGGAUAACGUAGGGAAACUUACGCUAAUACCGCAUACGACCUACGGGUGAAAGCAGGGGAUCUUCGGACCCUGCGCGAUUGAAUGAGCCGAUGUCGGAUUAGCUAGUUGGCGGGGUAAAGGCCCACCAAGGCGACGAUCCGUAGCUGGUCUGAGAGGAUGAUCAGCCACACUGGAACUGAGACACGGUCCAGACUCCUACGGGAGGCAGCAGUGGGGAAUAUUGGACAAUGGGCGCAAGCCUGAUCCAGCCAUACCGCGUGGGUGAAGAAGGCCUUCGGGUUGUAAAGCCCUUUUGUUGGGAAAGAAAAGCAGCAGGUUAAUACCCCGCUGUUCUGACGGUACCCAAAGAAUAAGCACCGGCUAACUUCGUG